rnacentral:rRNA from 1 species
GAGAACGCAGCGAAAUGCGAUACGUAGUGUGAAUUGCAGAAUUCCGCGAAUCAUCGAGUCUUUGAACGCAAGUUGCGCCCGAGGCUUGUCCGAGGGCAUUUCCGCUAGAGCGUCACCGCGCCCCCCCACCGAUCCACUCUCGCCGCGAGGCGCCAGUCGGGUCGAGUGCAAGUGGCCGUCCCGGUGGAGCGGGCCUCCUUUCGCGAGGAGGCCUGACUUGGAAGGGUCGGCUGAAAUGGAUGGAAUCGGGCCGCCGUGGUGACACAGUCCGCGAUCGGGUGAUUUCGUCGCGAGGCUCCUUCGGGAGGUUCUCGGCGAAUUUUUUCUAAGUGCUUGGCUGCGUCCCCCAGUUGGCUCGGGUUACCUCAUGCAGGUCGAGCGCGCCCCCGCGGCGCGCGUCACGCAUCAGACCUCUAAUCGGAAAAGAC